AUUAAUUAUAAAAUUAAAUUUAAAUAUAAAGAUAUUAAAUGAUAAAUCAUUAAAUUUAAAAGAUUUGGCGGUAUUUUAUAAAAUUAGAGGAAUCUGUAAAGUAAUUGAUAAUCCACGAUAAGAAAAACUUAAAAUUAAAAAUUUAUGUAUUGCUGUUUUAAAAAAUUAAUUAAGUAUAAAUUUUAUAUUUAAAAUUUUUAAUAUAAUUCAAGUCAAAAUAUAGUUUAAUUAAGAUAAAUUAUGGAUUACAAUUUUUAUUUAAAUAAUGGAUAAUUUUUAUUUAAAAAAAUUUGAAAUAGGAUUUAAAAGUAAAUUUAAUUAAUUAAUUAAAUUGAAUAAAAUUAUAAAAUGUGU
rnacentral:rRNA from 2 species